rnacentral:tRNA from 1 species
ACCACUCUAGUACAACAAAUACCGUUGACUUCCAAUCAUCAAAUCUUAGCAACCCUAAGGAGUAGUA